UACGUAGGGGGCAAGCGUUGUCCGGAUUCAUUGGGCGUAACGAGCGUGUAGGCGGCCAGGUAGGUCGGUUGUGAAAACUGGAGGCUCAACCUUCAGAGGUCGACCGAAACCAUCUGGCUAGAGUCCGGGAGAGGAGAGUGGAAUUCCUGGUGUAGCGGUGAAAUGCGCAGAUAUCAGGAAGAACACCCGUGGCUAAGGCGGCUCUCUAGUACGGUACUGACGCUGAGACGCGAAAGCGUGGGGAGCGAACAGG
rnacentral:rRNA from 1 species